rnacentral:rRNA from 1 species
UACGUAGGGGGCAAGCGUUGUCCGGAUUUAUUGGGCGUAAAGAGCUCGUAGGCGGUUUGGUAAGUCGGAUGUGAAAUCUCCAGGCUCAACCUGGAGGGGUCAUUCGAUACUGCCAUGACUAGAGUUCGGUAGGGGAGUGUGGAAUUCCUGGUGGAGCGGUGAAAUGCGCAGAUAUCAGGAGGAACACCAAUGGCGAAGGCAGCUCGCUGGGACGUGACUGACGCUGAGACGCGAAAGCGUGGGGAGCAAACAGG